AGCGGGGGAGCAGGGGCUCCCUGUGAGGGGCUUGGGCAAUCCCCGGGGUCGUGCAGCUUGGGCAGAGCUGGGACUGGGAGCUGGUCCCUCAGCCCAGCGCGGGCUCGCCCUCCGCCGCGGCCCACCAGGGGCUCAGGCCCCCCACCCGUGUUCGUGAAGCUCCCGUGGGAUCCCAGGCCGGAGAGCGUUCAAUGUCCCACGGCCUGAGGGGCGCAAACGGACUCGAAUGCCCCUUUUCCGGGCACUCGCCGCAGACCCGGGCUCUGGAGAGGUGAGGGGCGUGACGCCACGGAGGAUUUCUUCCUGGCAGUUUCCCUCAGCGCAGAGUGGACAAAAUCGUCCUCGCCCACUUCUGAAGACGUGGAGACCGCAUCCACUGAGCCUGACUAGAAACAGUAUCACUGCCUUUGGAACAGAUUACAGCAACAUUUAACUGCUGUUUCCAUAUGAGAACAGAGCUCUCUUGUUGGACGACUCACGUCAGCAAUGACGGCAAAAAGCACUGCAAAGAGGGAAUCCACGAAUAACAAGGACAGACAGUGCUUGGCCUUUUCAGGACAAUUUCCUCUCUCAACUGAAGAAGGGAAUCAUUUAUAAAAGGGCAACUCAGGGGAUCCUCGUGGUGAUGAAAGUUCAAUAUCCUGAUUGAGAACAGUGGAUCUGUGAACCCACCGGUGAUAAAGGUGCAUGAAAAUAAAUACAGCACACAUGCAUGAGUGCAAGUAAAACCACGGAGCUCUGGAUAAGAAGGGUAGAAUGUACCAAAGUCAACAUUAUGUCUGUGAUAUUGUUUGACAGUUUUGCAAGAUGUUGCUACUGGGGGGAACCUGGGUGGGCUGCAUUCAAACUCUCUCUGUAUUAUUUCUUACAAUUGCAUGUGAGUACACAAUGAUCUCUAAAUAAAAUUUAAUUAAGAAAGUCGCCGUCCCUCCCACUCAGAGCUGCUCCAAUGCCCUUGUUUCCUUGAAUCACCUUGAAUGGCUCUUGACAGUCCCCCUUAAUUCUCUCUCCUUCUCCCCAUUAAAGGGACCCCACAUGAACAACAAUGCUGAAAGAAUAAGUGUAAAUUCUGACCACAUCCCUUUCUGGUUCUCGUGGUAGAAGCAAAGAGGUAUCCCAGUGGAUACCAAACAUCCAAAGAUGAAGUUGCUUUGUUCAAAGAUGCAUCUCCAAUGGAUAAUGGGCCACUUUUCUUCAGGUGCAUGGUAGCUGGAGAACUUGGGGUUUCCACAAACUAAUAACAGCCCUACCCUCCAAGCGACUGCCAGGAGGGAUGGACCUGCAUUUAAUUCAUAACAUGGAAGUACCCUUGCACAUGGUCGUCGGGAAGUAAUUUCAAAUGCUCAGCCUCUCUGUGUCUAUCAAUGGUUUGAGUAAUGGAGGGGUGUCUAUGAAGGCUGGUGGGUGCAGCCCACCCGUUCUCUGCAGGGAGCUGAAAGGUGACCCUGGAAGUCAGGCUGGCAGCCACAGCCAACCUACACCAAGACAUGCUAUGGAAAACCGCUCGGGAGCCCCAGCUCUGGGUCUGCACCGAGCAUGUGACAGAGGACCAAUCCCAAGCCACGGCUUCUUGUUUCUGACAGCCUCAGCAGGAGACGGGAGGCUCCGGAGUUUGUUUGGUGCUGCAGCAGCACUUCUGAGCAGAGAGAGCAGGCAGGACCCGAUGGCUUCAUCUCCAAGCCCUCCUUUGAGCCUCCCCUGUUUGAGGCUGAAGAUUCCCAACUCCAGGUACCACCCAACAAGAUGCUACUGCCUCCCCCAAGGGUUGGGGGCUCGCAGCUUCCCUAGGAGUCACUCCCUCAUCAAAAGGAAAAGGGAUGGCUCUCUCUCUUUCUAAGCCCACUCGGCAGGUGAACUCACUGCCCUCCUCAUUACGUGGGACCUGACUCCUGGGGUGUAAAUCUCACUGGCAACA